GACGAACGCUGGCGGCGUGCUUAACACAUGCAAGUCGAACGGAAAGGCCCUGCUUUUGUGGGGUGCUCGAGUGGCGAACGGGUGAGUAACACGUGAGUAACCUGCCCUUGACUUUGGGAUAACUUCAGGAAACUGGGGCUAAUACCGGAUAGGAGCUCCUGCUGCAUGGUGGGGGUUGGAAAGUUUCGGCGGUUGGGGAUGGACUCGCGGCUUAUCAGCUUGUUGGUGGGGUAGUGGCUUACCAAGGCUUUGACGGGUAGCCGGCCUGAGAGGGUGACCGGCCACAUUGGGACUGAGAUACGGCCCAGACUCCUACGGGAGGCAGAAGUGGGGAAUAUUGCACAAUGGGCGGAAGCCUGAUGCAGCAACGCCGCGUGCGGGAUGACGGCCUUCGGGUUGUAGACCGCUUUCGCCUGUGACGAAGCGUGAGUGACGGUAAUGGGUAAAGAAGCACCGGCUAACUACGUG
rnacentral:rRNA from 1 species